AAAUAAUGCAUUAUUAAAAUAUCUAUAAAAAAAAAGAACGCGAAGAAUAAGAAAAAAAUAAUAUCAUUCUUACAACAAAAAUGUAGUCGAGAACCUACAGGAAUGACCACCUUUGGAUGGAAGUAUUAUUAUAGGGUUCUAUUUUGAUUACAAUUCACAACAAAAGUAUAUAGCUUGAUGACAAAAAAAAUAAACUAAAACCCCUCAAAACUGAGGUCUCUGAUUCUCUCUCACUGCAUCUCUGGCUCUUUGGCACGACGAGGGCC
rnacentral:lncRNA from 1 species